rnacentral:rRNA from 1 species
AGCGAACGCUGGCGGCAGGCUUAACACAUGCAAGUCGAGCGGGCACCCAUGUGGUGUCAGCGGCAGACGGGUGCGUAACGCGUGGGAACGUGCCCUUCGGCUCGGUAUAACUCUUGGAAACUUGAGCCGAUACCGGAUACGCCCUUAUAGCGCAUGGGUUACUGCCGUGGGAUCGGCCCACCUUUGAUCAUCUCGCUGGUGAGGUUAUGGCUCACCAAGGCGAUGAUUGGUGGCUGGAAUGCGAGGAUGAUCAGCCACACUGAGCCUGGGACACGGCGCGGACUCCGGCGGGAGGCAGCAGUGGGGAAUCAUGGACAACGGGGGGAACACGAAUGCAGCCGGGCCGCGAGGGUGAUGUGGUGGGUAGGAUUGGAAAGCGCUUUUCACCGGGACGAUAAUGACGGUACCGGAGGAAUAAGCCCCGGCUAACUUCGU